GNGNANNNGCGCNGCUAUACAUGCAGUCGAGCGAAUGGAUUAAGAGCUUGCUCUUAUGAAGUUAGCGGCGGACGGGUGAGUAACACGUGGGUAACCUGCCCAUAAGACUGGGAUAACUCCGGGAAACCGGGGCUAAUACCGGAUAACAUUUUGAACCGCAUGGUUCGAAAUUGAAAGGCGGCUUCGGCUGUCACUUAUGGAUGGACCCGCGUCGCAUUAGCUAGUUGGUGAGGUAACGGCUCACCAAGGCAACGAUGCGUAGCCGACCUGAGAGGGUGAUCGGCCACACUGGGACUGAGACACGGCCCAGACUCCUACGGGAGGCAGCAGUAGGGAAUCUUCCGCAAUGGACGAAAGUCUGACGGAGCAACGCCGCGUGAGUGAUGAAGGCUUUCGGGUCGUAAAACUCUGUUGUUAGGGAAGAACAAGUGCUAGUUGAAUAAGCUGGCACCUUGACGGUACCUAACCAGAAAGCCACGGCUAACUACGUGCCAGCAGCCGCGGUAAUACGUANGUGGCAAGCGUUAUCCGGAAUUAUUGGGCGUAAAGCGCGCGCAGGUGGUUUCUUAAGUCUGAUGUGAAAGCCCACGGCUCAACCGUGGAGGGUCAUUGGAAACUGGGAGACUUGAGUGCAGAAGAGGAAAGUGGAAUUCCAUGUGUAGCGGUGAAAUGCGUAGAGAUAUGGAGGAACACCAGUGGCGAAAGCGACUUUCUGGUCUGUAACUGACACUGAGGCGCGAAAGCGUGGGGAGCAAACAGAUUAGAUACCCUGGUAGUCCACGCCGUAAACGAUGAGUGCUAAGUGUUAGAGGGUUUCCGCCCUUUAGUGCUCAAAUUAACGCACUAAUCACUC
rnacentral:rRNA from 1 species